CUUCAGAAAAGGAGGCACCGAGGGUAGUGUGAGCACAGCCUUCCUGCUCCCUCCCUGUGGUCACAGAACCCAACGCUGAGGGCUACCAGAGAUAGCUGAGCACGAAUGAGAAGAAGUGGCCAAAGGAACCUGCCAACAGCAAGGAGCAGUUUCCUCCUGCUGGAUUCAAGGAAAUUCCUUCAAGGAUUUCCCCGCAGAAGUGAGAGUUUUCUCCUGCCUGGUAACAAACUAGUGAAGUAAAGAAUUCCUCUCCACCACUAGCCCCUUCAGAAAGAAGCUACCGAAGGCCAGCGCUGAGAAGAGCCCCUCAUGCACCACCUUCCAAACCACUAAAUGAAGGACAAUUUUCACCUUCCUGGCAGAACCAGCCACAGAGACCAUAAAAAACACUUGCCAAAUGCACAUUAGCCUAUGCCUACAUAACAGCUGUGAAUUACUGUAGAUCAGAGCCUCGGGUAUUUGAAAGGCAAGUUUAUUGUUUUGUUGGGUUUUGUUUUCUUUUUUUAUUUUUUUAAGUUCCAUUUUUGUGACAGUUAUUUCACCAAGGCAACAGCAACAAGAGCUGCUGUUAAAGAGAGCAAUCGGAAGUUUUAAAUUAAAAGCAGAUCCUUCUUGUUCCCAGAGGAGUCUCUACCUGUGGAAAGAUCAAGGUAAGAUCUACCCACACAUUUGGAUCCUAGCCCACUGAAAAAAAUCACAUUUCCUACUGCCACACCUGUCCAUCACUAACUCCAAGCCAGAUCCCACAGAGCAACUCCCUUCACAUAAUGGGAAAAGCAGAGGAGAAGAACGGCUCUUCAGUCCUUGGCUUCCUCUUCCAGCCUCCUGCAGGGAGGAAGAUCAAGGAACAAAACGUGGCCAAGUUAACAAGUGGAGGAUGCGAGGCACUCAUUUUUCUGGCUGAGGAGGUAACUUGGUAAGAAUUGUUCUAUACUCUAUUUUUGUUCACUGUUAUUUGUCUUCCCUCUCCUACCCCUCAAAGCCUUACUGGUAAAGGAAUUUAACUUCAUUUACAGUGAAGGCAAGAGGAAGUUCUCUGGUAUUUGUUAAUUUCCAGCAUUAUGUCCUUCUAAUUGAAUUUCUGUGCAUCUCUGCUUAGUGUUUGGCAUAUAAUUGAAGGAGGCGGUUCAUAUAGUUCAGCCACCAGCAUGAGCCAACCUAAUGAUUUUCCAGAGCUCACGAUAGCAACAAGCAGCUUUCAGACAAAUCCUUGAGGUCCCGAAGGAGCUGGAAACACAGCAAGGUAGCUUCCAUCAGCAUGCCCAGCCACGACCGCAGUGUAGUCAUAACAAACAGAGCUCCCUGUGGACUGCACCCACUUCAAGAUAGCCAGCAAAACUGAGAUUUUGUCUUUUUCCAAGAAAAGCUACAAUCCAACUGUGAUCACAGCAAUUCAUCCUACAGAUUCGGGAAGUCAGAGCUACAGUGCUCCCUCUAGAAUAACAGAAUUUUCGAUCAAGUACAAAGUUGGGAAAAAAGAAUACAAAACAUUUCUUUGAGUUUGGUACAGCUUUUCCCCGAACUUUCACCUAUCUCAGAGGACCGCUUACUGUCUUUUGAGAUUCAACUCACUGAUGAAGCCCUUGGAGUGUACCGAGAGCUACUUGCUAUUGUGGCUAUACCUUAGAAAAAGAAUUUAUUAAAUACUUUUUCCAUUGCGCCUAAUGGAUGGUUAGGAGACAGUGUUUUGAGGAAAACAAGCGGAUUCUGAAGCCAAGGAGUGAGAUGCUGGCAGGAGGUGUUGUGAGCAGGAGGAGGUUUUAAUGAGUGUCUUCUAUUUCCAUUUGAAAGAGUUCUCAGUAUUGAGGUACACUCACUCAGCCCACGGACUAAUCUGUACUUUUAAACACAAGCUUCUUGUUAAACAACAAACAACAACUCCUCGGCACAUUAUAUAUCUUAACGGAACUGUCCUUGCUGUGUGAUAUGAAGGCAAAUUUGUUUCCUGUCAGCCUAAUGGACUUUCAAGCUGCAGUUUUUCCACUCCUCUUAAUGACUUGUUGCAAUGGAGAUGAGUGCGCUGUGUACAGCAAUGCCAUCUUCUGGCACAGUUCUUGUGAGAAAAGGAUCUUGCUGAAUACCAUUAAAAGAAAGCUCCUGCUCUGUGAAAAUAGGAACUCAGGCUCCACAAUAAAUCUCGGAUUUUCCGCUACGUACUGUUGGGCUGUAAUUGUUUGAGGAACUGAAACAAAAAAUGAGAAUGUGUGCAGGGCUCUGUAGGAACAAACUCACUCAAGUGGCUCUUCAAGGCACACCCAAGUACGCUGAUGAGAACGAACGUCACCGCUGACUCCCAAAUGCUCCAAGGUGAAGCGGUGUGGCUGCAGCCACAGAUGGGUACAAGGGCAAUUGUGGGGCAGUGCAGGAACCUGGGAGGAAGAACAAGCAGUCAAAUGGAACCAGCUUGGCAUAUCUCUGGGGAAAUGCUUUCUGUAUCAGCAAACAUUUCACACAUCUGAUUUUACUUUUGUAUUCCAAGCCAGGAGAUUUGCAUUAAGCAAAGACUGAACACGCGUGCUAUUUAUACUAAGGAAAUAAAUAAGGGCUACAAAUUCACAGCUUCCGCAUAGUUCUAAUUCUGACUUUCUCCUGAACCAUCCUAUUUGUAAUUUGGAGGUACAGAAGACAAGCUUAAAAUCAAAGUUCCCAACAAACCUAUACUUAUGCUUUUUUUCCAGAAUCUACAAGGUUCAUGUUCCGGUAUCUAUUGGAGUGCAGAUUUCAAAGGAUGAACAAGAAAGCCAGAUCUACUCCAGAAUAACAGCUGAAGGGAAACAACACUUGUAUGUUUAGUUACUGUGCCAUUUAAUA